AGGGUUUGAUCCUGGCUCAGGAUGAACGCUGGCGGCGUGCUUAACACAUGCAAGUCGAACGAACCUUCGGGUUAGUGGCGGACGGGUGAGUAACGCGUGAGAAUCUGCCCUCAGGAGGGGGAUAACGGUUGGAAACGACCGCUAAUACCCCAUAUGCCUACUGGUGAAAUGAAUUUCGCCUGAGGAUGAGCUCGCGUCUGAUUAGCUAGUUGGUGAGGUAAUGGCUCACCAAGGCUUCGAUCAGUAGCUGGUCUGAGAGGAUGAUCAGCCACACUGGGACUGAGACACGGCCCAGACUCCUACGGGAGGCAGCAGUGGGGAAUUUUCCGCAAUGGGCGAAAGCCUGACGGAGCAACGCCGCGUGAGGGACGAAGGCCUCUGGGCUGUAAACCUCUUUUCUCAAGGAAGAAGAUAUGACGGUACUUGAGGAAUAAGCCACGGCUAAUUCCGUGCCAGCAGCCGCGGUAAUACGGGAGUGGCAAGCGUUAUCCGGAAUUAUUGGGCGUAAAGCGUCCGCAGGCGGCUUUUCAAGUCUGCUGUUAAAGCGUGGAGCUUAACUCCAUCAUGGCAGUGGAAACUGAAAGGCUUGAGUAUGGUAGGGGCAGAGGGAAUUCCCGGUGUAGCGGUGAAAUGCGUAGAUAUCGGGAAGAACACCAGUGGCGAAGGCGCUCUGCUGGGCCAUUACUGACGCUCAUGGACGAAAGCCAGGGGAGCGAAAGGGAUUAGAUACCCCUGUAGUCCUGGCCGUAAACGAUGAACACUAGUGUCGGGGGAAUCGACCCCUUUCGGUGUCGUAGCUACGCGUUAAGUGUUCCGCCUGGGGAGUACGCACGCAAGUGUGAAAC
rnacentral:rRNA from 1 species